AUCUAAUGACAUGAUAUUUACUGCUUUCUCACUUAGUAUUCCAGAAUCCAUCUCAAAGUUCCAAAUCUAAGGGAACCUAUGCCUCUUACUGGAAAAAGGAAAGGGUAGCAGAAGUCCUUGCCUGAAUGCUCACAUUCAAUCAUUCUUGUAUUGUUAGUCUUUUCUCCUGUGGAUCAGCUCUAAGGAAGUUAACCUGUCAGACUUCCACAUGGACUUCCAUCUGGUAUCUAAGAUGGCAUGUCAUGUUUUCAUAUCUUUUUUGACUUCACAAUAGUCUGAAGGGCAUGUAACCCUUGAUUCUUUGCUCCUCAUUAUAAUUAUGAUAUUAAAUAGCUUUUCUAGUUUCUCUAAGAAUAAUAAUCAUAACUUUUCACAAUUUGUGAUUUGCUGUAAAGUUGGACUACUAGCAAAUUGAUAUUUGUGGAAAGAAAUAAUUUUAUCUUAUUACAAUGUUUUAAAUAAUUUACAUAUUCCUGGCGACAUAGCUUUUUGAAACUCAGAGCUGUAAACCUGAGUUGUCAUGGAUACAUACAUGCAGGAGCUUACUUCAUGAAUUUAUUAUAGAAUUGACUGUUAAUUUUUAGUAUGUAAUGUAGUUUAACCAAAAAUGCUGCUGUUGUAGUUGAGGUUUAUUGUCCUUUUCACUAAGGUUAUUUUAUUGUGUUGCUCCUUAAUUGUUUUUCUUUAAAAAUUUUUUUUUUCUCUGAAGACAUUUUAUUGCCAAAGGGCACAGUUUAAACUGUGUGUCAAAAUGACUGAUCAGCAGUUUGGGUUGACUUUUCCUACUUUUCCUUUCUCCUGCUGAUAUGUCAAGUAAAGUCUAUAUAUAACCCUCAAAAUAUUGGUGGAACCAGAUAUAAAUCAGGUUACCCAUGAGCAAAGAUAUAGAAAAAAAGAAUUGGGAAAGAUUGGUUUGUUUGUUUGAGUAGGCUAAGAAUGGGUAAGACUAAAAUUGCAGUGAUCAGAUAAACCUUUUUAAAAUAACUUGCUUGGAUAAAACAUACUGCUUCUGGGUACACAGGAUCAAACUGGAGUAAUAAGAAAUUUAAAAAUCAUGAACCUUAUGAAAUUUAAAACUCUGACUCAUUUUGUACUUGUAUUUUUUCUUUCCCACAAGGUUGGCCAUAAAGUAAAGGAGAUUUUGUUGAAGUAGAGAAAACAUAUAUUUGAGAAUUGACCAAUAUGAAAAGAAGUUUAAAAUAUAUUUUUAAAAGCCAAUUCUAUUAACUAAUAGAGCUGCUACUAGGACAAAGUUCUACCAGUGGAAAAAGACAAAACUGCUUUAAAGACUGUGUGCUAUUUAUAUAAAGUAACAUAAUCUGACAGUGCAUGAAAAAUGCAUCUUCACAUAAGCAGAAGAGACAUCUUUAGUAUGAAUUUCUAGACAAGCUUCUUUUUAUAAAUUAUCAGUGAAAAAAUAAAUCUGAAAAUGCUACCUUUGUUAAAGUUAAUGUGCUCAAAUUAGCUUGGUUGAUGGUUUUUGAUAAUCUGAUUUUAAUAUUAAAUUUAAACAUUAGAUUUGAUCUCUGAUUAAAUUACACAUAUAAAAUAUACAAAAUAAUGGAAAAGUCUUAGGAAGCACAGAGCCUUAAACAUUCAGUAUAUGCUUGUUAUAGCUGCUACUGAUAGAUGAAUUUUCAAACAUCAUGGCUCACCAAGUUUUUGGUGUUAAGAAUCAGACAGUGACAUUAAAAUGUCAGCAUAACCUGUUCCACUGUUUAGAUGUAUAAAUAAUUUGAGUCACAGACAGGGAUGGCUAUUUGGCAAAAGCAACAAUAGUAAUUUCUGUAUGUUCUGUAUUCUUUGUUUCCUCAGAGAAAUGAGAUAAGAGACAACUUGGUUAGUGCUAAAUUUUUACAGAAGAACCACACCCUUAUCCAACAACAUUGAUCAAAUAAACACAGCUGGACUACUAGGGUAGAGAUAGAAAGAACUUGAGCUUAGUGGAGAUAGGCAUGCAAAUGUGAUUAUUCACAUAAGAAAAGUAUGUGUUAUGAUAGAGCUUGGGCAUCAGGAAGCUGUGCACAGAUGAUGUAAUAUUUGAGCUAGUUCAGAAGUGGUCAUGGGUGUGCCAGGUAGGUUGGGAGAGGAGCACAGGCAGGGGUGGUGUAGCAGACACCACCUCUUUCCUUCUAGCUCAUUUCAGUGUACAUUGUCCAUAUCUGUAUCUCUUUGCUCAAGACCUUCUUCUGACUGCUGGAGCCCUUCAUGGUGGUCUGGAAGUGGCCAUGAAGGGCACCCUCCAUCCCCUCUCAGUAGCUCUUCUCUACCAGUGACAGGAAGGCAUUGACAUACAAGUGCUCUGGCUACCUUAGCCUAUGGAUAGGAUAAGUCCUACUUUGAAAAACAAUAGAAUCAGAGUCAAAGGUCAAAGGGCAGAGUUAUAUCCAUCCCUAGAUUAAAAACUAAUAUUCACUGUUUGUUAUAAUGAUUUUGAACAUUAAAAUCCACCUGAUGUAUGAUUUUUGGUAUUAUUUGUGUUUAUAUUAAAUAGUCACGAUAUUUGUGGAGUUCCCAUCGUGGUGCAGCAGAAGCAAAUCUGACUAGUAACCAUGAGGUUGCGAGUUCGAUCCUUGGCCUUGCUCAGUGGGUUAAGGAUCUGGCAUUGCCUUGAGCUGUGACGUAGGUCACAGACGUGGCUUGAAUCUGGCAUUGCUGUGGCUGUCGCUUAGGCAGGCAGUUGUAGCUCUGAUUCUACCACUAGCCUGGGAACCUCCAUAUGCCAU
rnacentral:lncRNA from 1 species